GUAUUGUAUGAAAGGAGAGAAGAUAAGCACACCCCUUGGAAAGGGUGGAAGAGGCCCUUGCAGUCUAUACAAAAUGCAUACAGUUAAGGCACUGCCACCUACUUUGUGGCAUCUAACUAUGUUUAA